rnacentral:piRNA from 1 species
UAAGGAGACCUUAACUGGGAUGGACUUAAAU